GUCAGUCAGUCAUUACGGGGACAGUAUGGAGUUCAGGUCUCUCUCUGUGAUACUCUUGCUGACUGUCCUCAUCCACAGUGGACAAACAGAUCAGCCAGUGGUGAAAAUUAA